GCGCCACCAUAGCUAGACUGGUAGCUGUGCCAACUUUACGCCUGCUUUUCCCCUUAUCUUGAAUGCAAAUACAGCAAAGUAUUGAUAGUCUAUGCAAGCAGGGAGGAAGCGGUGAGGAGCAGCAAGUUCUGUGGCCUUGAACAAGCACCUUGUUCUCAUCCUUUACCCCAGUCUUCCUGGCUGGACAACAGAUAAUUGAACCUUGACCCCUUCACACAAGAGCCUGGAGUGAUGAAUUUGCUAAGUGCGUAGGAGUAUUUUGUCAUACAUGAAGAAGAGUUCUGUUCCUGCGUCAUCAGGUGCUGCUGCUUCCCUUAUGCCUGCUGGAGCACGCUGCAGCAUGGAGCUGUCUCAGCGAGUUGCAGUAACAAGGGCUGUAGAAAACAGCACCAAGUAUUGUGAAAUUCAUGAUCCAGUCACCGCAGCAUCCCUGACAUCAGUUCUCAAUUUGACUUGCUAAUACUGGAACCCUAGUUUUGCUUUCCCGGAUUCUCACCCUGCUGCUUGCACAGCCAAAAUGACCACUCUGCCCCUAAUGUAGUACUUUGCUAUAGUCCACUGCUCACUAGAAGAGAUUGAUGGUAUAGUUCUUCCUGCAGUUCUUCUAGCACAGUCUCAACUGGUGCCCACCAGCCUUCUGCCCCUCUCCUGGGGUGAA